CCUACGGGAGGCAGCAGUAAGGAAUAUUGGUCAAUGGGCGCAAGCCUGAACCAGCCAUGCCGCGUGCAGGAAGACGGCCCUAUGGGUUGUAAACUGCUUUUGAACAAGAGAAAACCUCGGUACGUGUACCGAGCUGAUAGUAUUGUUAGAAUAAGCAUCGGCUAACUUCGUGCCAGCAGCCGCGGUAAGACGAAGGAUGCAAGCGUUAUCCGGAUUCAUUGGGUUUAAAGGGUGCGUAGGCGGCCUGAUAAGUCAGUGGUGAAAUCUCUCAGCUUAACUGAGAAACUGCCAUUGAUACUGUCGGGCUUGAGUACAGAUGAUGUGGGCGGAAAUAUGACAUGUAGUGGUGAAAUACUUAGAUAUGUCAUAGAACACCGAUUGCGAAGGCAGCUCACAAAACUGUAAACUGACGCUGAGGCACGAAAGUGNGGGAGUACAACAGAUAGAUACCUACGUAGUCGCACCGUAACGANANAUAUACUUGUUGUNAUAUGACGUCGAGCGACC
rnacentral:rRNA from 1 species